rnacentral:lncRNA from 1 species
AGGACGGUGGAAUUCUGGGAUGAAGAAGAAGAAUUUGCUACCUGUUUUGGAAGAACUAGCAGAGUGAGGUAACAACGAGGGCACAGUGUCCUGUUUUACAGAUACUUGCUCAGCCACAUUCAUCACUGCUCUGUUCAUAACAGUUGGAAAUUGGAAACAACCUAAAUGCUUUCUCUCUCUGAUUUGUGGAUUCUAGAUCUGAAUCUUAAGAGUGAUCAGAAUAUAGGAUGGAUUGUCCAUGUGGAUGUUGGAUGUUAGCAAAUGCUCAAUACACAAGAAUAACAUAAAGGGGCAGACUGAAGCUGAUAACCCAAUUGCUACAUUACAAGUAAACAUGAGUAAACUCAAGAGACUCAACAAGCCUUUUAUUUCAGGAAGCAACCAAGAGUCUGGAAACCAUGGCAGCAGCAGGAAGUUCCGGCUGUUUUAAAGUCGCGGUUCCGGUGUUCAGGAUGCCAGGGAUGAUGGGAAGCCUGUUCUUGUUUAUCGGUUUGUACGGAACUUCACCCGCGGUAGAGUACGGCCUGAGAAUUUUGUUCCAGCACCGGUGUGAGGAAAACAUCUGAGCCCAUGAAUUGCCAGACCCUGGAUACCUGAGACACAUCCACUUGCUUCUCAGAUUGGACAUCUGUGGGCUUCCCUUUGCUAUGACGUAAGUGUGGUACAAGCGGAGCUCCAGUGCUAUCCGUGAAUACUAGUAGAGUUCUAAUUCUGGUUAAGAGUUUGGGAUGGGGCCUUGCUGCACUGUAACUGUGAAGGUGUUUUAUAAAGAAUCUUGUGAUGAUUCAGCAUUGUGAAAUAGUGACAACAGCAUGGUAAAUUGAAUCAAAUAAACCCAGACAUAUUGUUUGUGGGCAAAAUUAGAACCCUUCCAGUUAUCCCAGGUACAGUUCAUGCUUGUCUUGUUGGUCCCUUCCUAUUCUGUAUCACCUUCCUCUUCUCUCACUUCCCUCUUCUCUCCAUCUCUUCCCUCCCAGUCUGGGUCCCGUCGUCCCCCCACCCCCGCCCUCUCUCCCUCACUUUUAUAGGGUUUCCUGUAGUUUAGGUUGACUUCAACCUUGAAUUUUCUAUCCUUCUCCCAUGUCCUGAGACUAUAGGUGUAUGCUAGCAUCACCUUUGGCCUGUUUCUCUCUCUAGGUUUGGAGUGCAUAAUGAGGAGAAAUAAAAACAGAAAGAUCUCCAGAAAGAAGCCAUGGUAAGAUUCAAGGUUUCACAGUCCAAGCUAAUGCCUGUGGACACUUGACCAAGUGAUCUGAGAAAAUUGGAUUUCUGGCAAAACAAGUGUACCUAGACUCAGGCAAGGGUGGAGAACAGAGGGCGACUAGAUUAAAUGGAAAGAAUGCCCAGGCAUCCCAUUGCCUCCCUUUGACGUUCCAGAACUUCAUCAAGACAGUGAUGAGCUACAUGUACACCUGGAGGAGAGUUCAGGAUCAAGCUCAGAAGCGCACAGCUGCCAGCAAGCAGUCUACUACUGAACUGCACCAUCUCUCCAGCCUGUGCUUACUCUUGAAUAGCCCCAAAGUAGUCAAUGGUAUGGCAAAAUAAACCUCCAUUUCAUUUAGAUUUUUAUAGUAUUUUUUGCCACUUAAAUUAUUUUAUGUAGUUGAGUAUGAUUUUUUUUCCCCCUAAGGAAUUCUAUGUAUCUCAAUUUCAAGAGUCUUCAGCCUUUAUGUUAUACAUAAUUUCCUAUAGAUUUCAAAGUUGCUUUAAUAAAAAGUUUAAUGUUAAAA